rnacentral:rRNA from 1 species
GUGGGGAAUCUUCCGCAAUGGACGAAAGUCUGACGGAGCAACGCCGCGUGAGUGAUGAAGGUCUUCGGAUUGUAAAGCUCUGUUAAUCGGGACGAAAGAGCCUAGUGUGAAUAAUGCUAGGAAGUGACGGUACCGGAAUAGAAAGCCACGGCUAACUACGUGCCAGCAGCCGCGGUAAUACGUAGGUGGCAAGCGUUGUCCGGAAUUAUUGGGCGUAAAGCGCGCGCAGGCGGAUCUGCCAGUCUGUCUUAAAAGUUCGGGGCUUAACCCCGUGAUGGGAUGGAAACUACAGAUCUAGAGUAUCGGAGAGGAAAGUGGAAUUCCUAGUGUAGCGGUGAAAUGCGUAGAUAUUAGGAAGAACACCAGUGGCGAAGGCGACUUUCUGGACGAAAACUGACGCUGAGACGCGAAAGCCAGGGGAGCGAACGGGAUUAGAUACCCUUGUAGUCC